rnacentral:sRNA from 12 species
UUUGUAUUUCCCUGAGCAAGAAAUAUAAAUAGGACUACACGUCAAAAUAUUAGCACAUUAUUAAGAUUUAUUUUAAGUCAUAAAAUUCAGUAGAAACAAUUAGUAACAAUUCUAGAAAUGUGAAAUUUGAAUCUACGGUGGCAAUUGAUAUUUUGGCUACUAGUU